GUGAUGUACCUCAAGCAUAACUUCUCUUAGCAGAUCUUCUUUGUGAAGAACAUGGGAACACAGUAAAGUCUUCCAAAACUUAGCUCUACAGCUACUCAAGAGAAAUCUUCGUCAUCAUUUGCGUGCUUUUCCCAUUACCAUGUUAUAAGGACCCGGAGGAAAAAGACAAGGCUCCUUGUCAAGGUGGAGAUUGACAAUAUGCGUUAUCUGAGAUCUUUGGCAUUGAUCUUCUCACAGAGAACAGCUCUUCGUUUUUCCAGUUCUCAGUAUCCAUAUGCCAAGGUUGUCCGGACUGCUUAAAAAAAAUGGCUCAUGCAGAGAGCGCACGAGAAAGAACAUUUUGCUUCAUCCAGCUGCCUCGACAAAGAAGCAGGCAGAGAAAAUGUGCCCCUGAGGUUUGAGCAAAGCCUUUAAGGACGCGGUGCAUCCUCCCAAGGUGUCCCCUUCGCGCCCGGUGCCGCCGUGCGGCCCCGAGAAACGUCAAAGGACCGCCGGGGAGCGAACCCAGCGGGAGCGGGGGGACUGCGAGCGAGGC
rnacentral:lncRNA from 1 species